GCUACAUGAAUGAAAUGAAUGGGAAGCUGGGACAUGACGCUGACGUUGGACAGGACACAGCUUUAACGGACACAGAAUGACCAGCUACAGCUCCGUUGUUUCCCAUCCUCCAUCCAAGUGCAAGUAAUUUAGAACAAGUUCUGUCCCCAUGCUCUGAGACGUACACAAAAUACAUUGGAUGACACAAUUCAUACGAGACGAGCACGUGUCCUCAAGUCCUUGUGAAUCUACUUGAACGAAGACCACGAGAAAAUUGUCAAGGAU